rnacentral:rRNA from 1 species
UACGUAGGGUGCGAGCGUUGUCCGGAAUUAUUGGGCGUAAAGAGCUCGUAGGCGGUGUGUCACGUCGGCCGUGAAAACCUGCAGCUUAACUGUGGGCGUGCGGUCGAUACGGGCAUCACUGGAGUUCGGCAGGGGAGACUGGAAUUCCUGGUGUAGCGGUGAAAUGCGCAGAUAUCAGGAGGAACACCAUAGUGGCGAAGGCAGCUCUCGUGGGACGGUACUGACGCUGAGACGCGAAAGCGUGGGGAGCGAACAGG